rnacentral:rRNA from 1 species
UACGGGGGGAGCAAGCGUUGUUCGGAUUUACUGGGCGUAAAGGGCGCGUAGGCGGUCAGCACAAGUCAGUUGUGAAAUCUCCGGGCUUAACUCGGAACGGUCAACUGAUACUGCGCGGCUAGAGUGCGGAAGGGGCAACUGGAAUUCUCGGUGUAGCGGUGAAAUGCGUAGAUAUCGAGAGGAACACCUGCGGCGAAGGCGGGUUGCUGGGCCGACACUGACGCUGAUGCGCGAAAGCCAGGGGAGCGAACGGG